rnacentral:lncRNA from 1 species
UUGAAAUAUAAUACUGAUGACUUUGUUUUAAAAUUGUAAGAAUUUAUUGUAUUCCUGACUUUUAAUAUUGUCUGUUUUAAUAUUGCCCUGUAAGGAACAAGUUGAGGUUUCUGGGUGUGUGUGUUUUUUUUAAUUCUGGAAAAGGGAAGUGGUAUGAUGGCCAUUUUCAAAUAUCUGAAGAGCCGUCGUGUGGAAAUAGGCAGAACCUUAUUCUUGGCAGCUCCUUCGGACGUUUUGCACCAGGUGUCGGGAGGCCGCCCAGGAGGGGGAUGCUCUGGCCUGGGGUUUUCCUGCAUCCGCAGCUGGAUGGGGUUGUUUCCAGUUGUCCAGCUCGGCUGACCUUCAGUGUUUCUUUGCAGGAGAAGCCACUUCAGCUGUAGGGAGAAGAUGGCGGGUGAAGAGAUGGCUGAGGCGGUGCAGAAGAAGAUUCAGGGGGAACUGGAGAAGUUCCAACAGCUGCAGAAAGGUCAUUUCUUCCAUAACCUGAUAUUUUUUAAUGGGAUAGUUCUAGAUUUGCUGCCCUUCCCCAAACCCAGAGUGGGCUCUUCCUCUUUUAAAUGCCUUCAAAACAUCUGACCGAUGGGCAAGUGUGUCUUCAAGAAAGGAUGGAUGAUUCGGAGGUGGUGUCUUCAUUUGACGCAGGGGAACUGUGGCAGUAGAGGUGGGUGGGGUAGGAUCACUUAUCACUGAGGUAUGGAAGUUCCUAAGCUGUGCGGGGUCUUUGUGAACCUAGACCCAGAUGACAAACAAGGGGGUUCACCAUGGAUGCAUCCAUGGCCCAAGAAGGACUCAAGUAUCUAUGGCAGUGGUUCUCAAGAACAUCUGGGGGGCCCAGGUUGGGAACCACUCAUCCAUGGAAUUUCAGUUCCAGGUGUCCCCUCUAUGUAUGUGAUGUGCCUGAAGGACAUGCUGUAAGGUGAGGCUUCGGUCAUCUAUUACACUGGUUCUUAACCUUUGUUACUCAGAUGUUUUUGGACUGCAACUCCCAGAAGCCUUCACCAUCAGCUCUGCUGGCUGAGGUUUCUGGGAGUUGCAGUUCAAAGUAACAAAGGUUAAGAACCACUGAUCUAUUAUUAUAUGUUCAAAAAGAAGCUCUCUUUUGGCAGGUUUGAAUUGCCUUACGUUUUCCAUCAGAGCUAAAUCUCGGUCCUAUGAAAGAAACACAAAGCGGGUGAAAGAACCCCCUUCCUGCAGGCUGACUUGUUUUAAAAAAGAAGAAGCCAAGGCAGACGUUGAGGCUAUAAAGCGCUCUCUGCCUUUUGUUAAAAGAGAGAGGUGGACACCCAUAAGAUAGUACAGAAAUAUUGUUUUUAACCAAGAGGAAUAGCCCUUCUGCAGAUUUUCCUGUGGCAUCUCUUUUAAAGCCUCCCUCAUUUGCAAGACCCACGGCCGGUCAUGGAUAGAUAAAGAGGUGGCGUUGGAUGU